UACGGAGGAUCCAAGCGUUAUCCGGAUUCAUUGGGUUUAAAGGGUGCGUAGGCGGACUGAUAAGUCAGCGGUGAAAUCCCACGGCUCAACUGUGGAACUGCCGUUGAUACUGUUAGUCUUGAAUGCAGAUGAUGUGGGCGGAAUAUGACAUGUAGUGGUGAAAUACUUAGAUAUGUCAUAGAACACCGAUUGCGAAGGCAGCUCACAAAACUGUGAUUGACGCUGAUGCACGAAAGCGUGGGGAUCAAACAGG
rnacentral:rRNA from 1 species